rnacentral:rRNA from 1 species
ACAUGUCUAAAGAAUAGCGUUAAUGCACUGGAUCCCAUUAGAAAUUUGCAAUUAAGCGCGCUCAUGCUAGAGUAUUACUGAGAUGGGUGACCGCCUAGGAAGUCCCAGUGUUUUACAUGCC